UACGUAGGGGGCAAGCGUUGUCCGGAUUUAUUGGGCGUAAAGAGCUCGUAGGUGGUUCGGUAAGUCGGAUGUGAAAUCUCCAGGCUCAACCUGGAGGGGUCAUUCGAUACUGCCGUGACUAGAGGUCGGUAGGGGAGUGUGGAAUUCCUGGUGGAGCGGUGAAAUGCGCAGAUAUCAGGAGGAACACCAGUGGCGAAGGCGGCUCACUGGCUCGAUACUGACGCUGAGGCACGAAAGCGUGGGGAGCAAACAGG
rnacentral:rRNA from 1 species